GCCCGGAUGGUGGAAUGGUAGACACGCUGGACUUAAAAUCCAGUUGCCAUUGAGGCUGUGCGGGUUCAAGUCCCGCUCCGGGUA
rnacentral:tRNA from 1 species